rnacentral:rRNA from 1 species
UACGGAGGGUGCAAGCGUUAUCCGGAUUCACUGGGUUUAAAGGGUGCGUAGGUGGGCAGGUAGGUCAGUGGUGAAAUCUCCGAGCUUAACUCGGAAACUGCCGUUGAUACUAUUUGUCUUGAAUAUUGUGGAGGUAAGCGGAAUAUGUCAUGUAGCGGUGAAAUGCUUAGAUAUGACAUAGAACACCAAUUGCGAAGGCAGCUUACUACACAACGAUUGACGCUGAGGCACGAAAGCGUGGGGAUCAAACAGG